rnacentral:rRNA from 1 species
UGCAAGUAGAACGCUGAAGAGAGGAGCUUGCUCUUCUUGGAUGAGUUGCGAACGGGUGAGUAACGCGUAGGUAACCUGCCUGGUAGCGGGGGAUAACUAUUGGAAACGAUAGCUAAUACCGCAUAAAAUUGAUUAUUGCAUGAUAAUUAAUUGAAAGAUGCAAUUGCAUCACUACCAGAUGGACCUGCGUUGUAUUAGCUAGUUGGUGAGGUAACGGCUCACCAAGGCGACGAUACAUAGCCGACCUGAGAGGGUGAUCGGCCACACUGGGACUGAGACACGGCCCAGACUCCUACGGGAGGCAGCAGUAGGGAAUCUUCGGCAAUGGGGGGAACCCUGACCGAGCAACGCCGCGUGAGUGAAGAAGGUUUUCGGAUCGUAAAGCUCUGUUGUAAGAGAAGAACGGGUGUGAGAGUGGAAAGUUCACACUGUGACGGUAUCUUACCAGAAAGGGACGGCUAACUACGUGCCAGCAGCCGCGGUAAUACGUAGGUCCCGAGCGUUGUCCGGAUUUAUUGGGCGUAAAGCGAGCGCAGGCGGUUAGAUAAGUCUGAAGUUAAAGGCUGUGGCUUAACCAUAGUAUGCUUUGGAAACUGUUUAACUUGAGUGCAGAAGGGGAGAGUGGAAUUCCAUGUGUAGCGGUGAAAUGCGUAGAUAUAUGGAGGAACACCGGUGGCGAAAGCGGCUCUCUGGUCUGUAACUGACGCUGAGGCUCGAAAGCGUGGGGAGCAAACAGGAUUAGAUACCCUGGUAGUCCACGCCGUAAACGAUGAGUGCUAGGUGUUAGGCCCUUUC